rnacentral:rRNA from 1 species
GACAGAGGUGCCAAGCGUUAGGCGGAAUCACUGGGCGUAAAGCGUGCGCAGGCGGUUAUGCAAGACAGAUGUGAAAUCCCCGGGCUUAACCUGGGAACUGCAUUUGUGACUGGCGGGCUAGAGUAUGGCAGAGGGGGGUAGAAUUCCACGUGUAGCAGUGAAAUGCGUAGAGAUGUGGAGGAAUACCGAUGGCGAAGGCAGCCCCCUGGGCCAAUACUGACGCUCAUGCACGAAAGCGUGGGGAGCAAACAGG